CCUGAGAAACCCAAAAGAUCGAAUGGGGAGAUUCAUCGCCAGCGAUCCUGGCACGUGUGCGGUUCGRGAUGCCCGAGAUUUCGGUCUCGCGGCACACGUCCGCAUGGUUCUUUUGCCGGGUGUCGUCGGCGUGCACUUCUCCCCUAGUAGGACGUCGCGACCCGUUGGGUGUCGGUCUACGGCCCGGGUGGGAGCCUGCCAUUGCGUCACGCUUAACGGCGUCGCUCUGCCAGACCCCCGGUUGUCCGACCAGCUGCCCGGCGGUACUCGCACGGUAUCGAGCCGCAAAUAUUCGAACUGCGUCCGGCCCGCCGCAAGCGAGGCCAGUGUUUCCCGGAUGUGCGGACCUAGCGCCGUCAUCGGGCCUGGCCAGCUGUUGGUUGGCGGUGUCCUGGGACCGGCUCUCCAUUAAUUAUGAUACCGGUCGGCGACGCUACUGCUUUGGGUACUUUCAGGA
rnacentral:rRNA from 1 species